UCACAUUCUCAUAAAAAAUAAAUUAAAAAGUAACAAUAACUAACAAACAAAUAAAAAUGAUAUUUUUGGUAGAAAUAGUACAAGCCUCCCUACUUCACAUUUUAAGCUUCCAUGUUUCCUUCCUUUUAAAUCUUCACCAACUUUGCACUCCAUUAAAAAGUAGAAGUCUCAUCUUCACUAACUUUGUACUCCACCAAAAAAUAGAAGUCUUCAGUUGUCACUCCAUAAUUUAUGCAAAAUAAUAGAAAAACCUAAACUAAAUUUAUCUCAUGGACGCAACAAUUAAUUCUUGUAGCAUAUAAAUUGAGAACCAAAAAUUAAAAAAAGGGUGGAGGUUUUUUUCUUAAAAAAAAUUAGUAACAUAGAAAAGAAAUGACUUUUUUUCUCUCGAAAUAAGAGAGGAAAGAAUAAAAGUUUUUUUUUUGGAAAAAAAAAAGAGAAGGAACAACUUAGAAAAUCAGUGAUGGAAAAGAUAUACAGAUCCAAAAAUCCAUCAUACCCUUUCAUCAAAUCAAGCAAUAGCCAUAAACAGACACAAACCCCUUUUAACAACUGAGGAUAACUACUACUUCCGUUGUCUACGUCUGCUGCUCGCAACUCCUACAACCCUUUGAGUCGUCACGUCGAAGGCUGACUCCGACCUACCACAAACCGUGAUACUCUACUUCUUCACUCUUCUCUAUCAAACUUACCUUGGAUUUGUUUCUCUCUUCCAACUCCUUUCUUUUCUCCCCCUCUAAGCGGCUUUCUUUUUUCCACCCUUUGAAUGGCACAACAAAUAUAGUUGUCAUUUUGUUUACCUUUUUUUUU
rnacentral:lncRNA from 1 species